GAUGAACGCUGGCGGCGUGCCUAAUACAUGCAAGUCGAGCGAACGGACGAGAAGCUUGCUUCUCUGAUGUUAGCGGCGGACGGGUGAGUAACACGUGGAUAACCUACCUAUAAGACUGGGAUAACUUCGGGAAACCGGAGCUAAUACCGGAUGAUAUUUUGAACCGCAUGGUUCAAAAGUGAAAGACGGUCUUGCUGUCACUUAUAGAUGGAUCCGCGCUGCAUUAGCUAGUUGGUAAGGUAACGGCUUACCAAGGCAACGAUGCAUAGCCGACCUGAGAGGGUGAUCGGCCACACUGGAACUGAGACGCGGUCCAGACUCCUACGGGAGGCAGCAGUAGGGAAUCUUCCGCACUGGGCGAAAGCCUGACGGAGCAACGCCGCGUGAGUGAUGAAGGUCUUCGGAUCGUAAAACUCUGUUAUUAGGGAAGAACAAAUGUGUAAGUAACUGUGCACGUCUUGACGGUACCUAAUCAGAAAGCCACGGCUAACUACGUG
rnacentral:rRNA from 1 species